rnacentral:rRNA from 1 species
AUUGAACGCUGGCGGCAUGCUUUACACAUGCAAGUCGAACGGUAACAGGCCUUCGGGUGCUGACGAGUGGCGAACGGGUGAGUAAUGCAUCGGAACGUGCCCAGAGGUUGGGGAUAACGCAGCGAAAGCUGUGCUAAUACCGCAUGUGAUCUGAGGAUGAAAGCGGGGGACCAGGCAGGAAUGUUUGGCCUCGCGCCUUUGGACCGGCCGAUGUCAGAUUAGGUAGUUGGUGGGGUAAAGGCCUACCAAGCCGACGAUCUGUAGCCGGUCUGAGAGGACGACCAGCCACACUGGGACUGAGACACGGCCCAGACUCCUACGGGAGGCAGCAGUGGGGAAUUUUGGACAAUGGGCGCAAGCCUGAUCCAGCAAUGCCGCGUGCGGGAAGAAGGCCUUCGGGUUGUAAACCGCUUUUGUACGGAACGAAAAGGCUCUGGCUAAUACCUGGGGCUGAUGACGGUACCGUAAGAAUAAGCACCGGCUAACUACGUG